UACGAAGGGAGCUAGCGUUGUUCGGAAUUACUGGGCGUAAAGGGCGCGUAGGCGGCUUGGCAAGUUGGGUGUGAAAGCCCAGGGCUCAACCCUGGAAUAGCACUCAAGACUGCCUUGCUUGAAUUCGGUAGAGGUUGGUGGAAUUCCCAGUGUAGAGGUGAAAUUCGUAGAGAUUGGGAAGAACACCCGUGGCGAAGGCGGCCAACUGGACCGACAUUGACGCUGAGGCGCGAAAGCGUGGGGAUCAAACAGG
rnacentral:rRNA from 1 species